GAUGAACGCUGGCGGCGUGCCUAACACAUGCAAGUCGAGCGAUCUUCUUCGGAAGAGAGCGGCGGACGGGUGAGUAACGCGUGGGUAACCUGCCUCAUACACCUGGAUAACAUACCGAAAGGUAUGCUAAUACAAGAUGAUAUAAGAGAUUCGCAUGGAUUUUUUAUCAAAGCUCCGGCGGUAUGAGAUGGACCCGCGUCUGAUUAGCUAGCUGGUAGGGUAACGGCUUACCAAGGCGACGAUCAGUAGCCGAACUGAGAGGGUGAUCGGCCACAUUGGAACUGAGACACGGUCCAAACUCCUACGGGAGGCAGCAGUGGGGAAUAUUGCACAAUGGGCGAAAGCCUGAUGCAGCAACGCCGCGUGAGCGAUGAAGGCCUUCGGGUCGUAAAGCUCUGUCCUCAAGGAAGAUAAUGACGGUACUUGAGGAGGAAGCCCCGGCUAACUACGUGCCAGCAGCCGCGGUAAAAC
rnacentral:rRNA from 1 species